rnacentral:rRNA from 1 species
GGACUACUGGGGUUUCUAAUCCUGUUUGCUCCCCACGCUUUCGCGCCUCAGCGUCAGUCUCGGUCCAGAGCGCCGCCUUCGCCACCGGUGUUCUUCCCAAUAUCUACGAAUUUCACCUCUACACUGGGAAUUCCACGCUCCUCUCCCGAUCUCUAGUUCCGCCGUUUCGAGCGCACCUCCCAGGUUGAGCCCGGGGCUUUCACACUCGACAAACAAAACCGCCUGCGCCCCCUUUACGCCCAGUAAAUCCGAACAACGCUCGCCCCCUUCGUAUUACCGCGGCGGCUGGCAC